rnacentral:rRNA from 1 species
GACGAACGCUGGCGGCGUGCCUAAUACAUGCAAGUAGAACGCACAGUUUAUACCGUAGCUUGCUACACCAUAGACUGUGAGUUGCGAACGGGUGAGUAACGCGUAGGUAACCUGCCUGGUAGCGGGGGAUAACUAUUGGAAACGAUAGCUAAUACCGCAUAAUAUUGAUUAUUGCAUGAUAAUUGAUUGAAAGAUGCUAUUGCAUCACUACCAGAUGGACCUGCGUUGUAUUAGCUAGUAGGUGAGGUAACGGCUCACCUAGGCGACGAUACAUAGCCGACCUGAGAGGGUGAUCGGCCACACUGGGACUGAGACACGGCCCAGACUCCUACGGGAGGCAGCAGGAGGGAAUCUUCGGCAAUGGACGAAAGUCUGACCGAGCAACGCCGCGUGAGUGAAGAAGGUUUUCGGAUCGUAAAGCUCUGUUGUAAGAGAAGAACGGGUGUGAGAGUGGAAAGUUCACACUGUGACGGUAUCUUACCAGAAAGGGACGGCUAACUACGUG